AGGAAUUUUUAAAACGAGGAAAAGCAAAAUAUUUUAUAUGAGCACAUGACAAAGGGUCAUUGCUUCAUGAGAAGCUGUCAGCAUGCUUUGGGUGGCAUCACCUUUGAGGGGCAUGCUGAAGCUGUAAAACCCAGCUGGAGCCUCUAAAUGGGCGGAAGAACACUGAAGGGAAUGGAACACUGGCAAAAAGAGUGAGGUCAGGGAACAUGGUGGAUAAGGGGAAUCCUGGGCUUUCACUGUGGGUAGUGAGGAUUACCGCAAACCUGAAGCCCCUCAAAGCUGACUCAAGAGCAGGUUUAAUGGAGAAGCACAUGGCAAAAUCAUCGGUCUCCACCUGCAUCUUACCUAGCACAGUAUUGUGCACAUACUCGGAGGUCAACGAACACUUAGAUUGACUAGGAUAAUGGUGGUUUUAAAGGUAUUAUGUGUAUUUAUAAAUGACUGCAGUGAAUUUAGGGAGCUGUUGGACUCAGUGUCAGUGUUACUGGGGGAAAUGGAUUUCUGAACCACAUCCUAGGACCAAACUAAUGAUCCGAAUCACAUCAAGUGUGGCAGUGGCACAGCAAGAAUUUAACUCUUUAUUUAUUCCCCAGCUUUGUUAGGAUUCUCUUUGGUCAGCAGGUGUUGCAGGACAGCUGCAUGCUCUGUAGGGAACCCGGGGGGCAGGGAAAAGCCCUGCUGAGGUCGCCGGCAUCUGUUCCUCCCUCUGCAGCUACCUCACGUCCAUUACUUCUGAAUUCUUGGCCGACGGUGCAAAAGCUGCAGAGAGUGAACCCACUGCAGAGGCCACAUGGAAGAGAUUUUCCUCUCUGCCUGGGAGAAUAUCGGGUCACCAGCCAGAAGCCAAUGAACACUUAUGGACGGUUAUGAUGGAAUAACGUGUUCAGAGAGGUCAUUUUUUCAUAAUCCCAUGACAUAGGGAUGUCUUACUUUCACACUUCUAAAAUUAUACAAGUAAUACAUACUAAUUUGAGAAUAGAGGUAUAUAAUGAAGGAAAUCGUUAUUCUGUAUGCUGUCCACUUACAAUAACAAUGUAUUUCUUUUUUAAAACUGAGAUCACGUUGUAUAUUCCAUUUUUUAAGCCUUUCUCCCUGUUAAUAUAUUUUUUCAGCUGCAUAAUGACUCAUUUUUCUAUUUGAUCUGAAACAUGAAAAUUGAGAGAAGUCUAUAAACUCCAGCUGCCCCAGUUCCUUAACUUACUGAGUCUUGAUUGUUCAGUUCUUCCUUCAAUUCUGUGAGAUAAUCCAGGACCCUUUCAAUAAAAUCUUCCUUCUAUUUAAGCUAGGGAGUCACUUUUUGGUGUCUGAUACCAAGAAAACCUUAAGCAAUAUACACAAGAAUCAUGUGAAAGAUAAAGAAAAACAGAGGAAGACGCUCAGGUGUAGUAAAAAGUGCUGCUCUCAAUGGGGCACGUCGAAGUUACAAAAACAAAAUGAAAAACAAACUCUUAUCUGAAACUGCAUGAAAAAGAGAGAGAAACUUACAGAGAAAUGGAACCCCUUUAAAAAGAGGAUUAGAUCCUGUGGCAGCAGGGAAAGAAAUUAGACAUCCAGGAGGCAAAUGCUAUCUAGAGCUUAAAAUAAUCUACAAAAAAAAAAAAAGAAGAUUUUGGGGAGGAUUAUAUGGUCCAGGACUCUAUAAGGUGUGAGACGAACCAAACACAGUAACCCUCGAUUAGAAACUGAUUAGAUUCUUCAGGUGGUGAAACUUUGGACGUGAGACAACAUUGACUGGAUGAAAUGCCAGGGAGGGGUUGGGGCCUUGGCCCAGAUAGAGCAAAAGAAGACGAGAGUGAGAAUUACCGGUUUCCUCAAAAAAGAUUUUUCUUUAAACUUUCUGUAUUUUGCAAAUAUUCUAAAUUAAGCCUGAACAGAGCAAGAGGCUCUGUUUCCUUUAAGGUAAAGUGGACAAUUUUAAUUAAAAUUUAAAAGCUCACUAAAAAAAUUAGCUUACAAUUGCCACUUCAGAAGGAAGAUCUUGUAAAUAUAUCAGCUCUUAGAUAACUUGUCACAUUUCUCACAAUUUUUUUGUCAUUUAGUUUUGUUAAAGAAAUGGGGAGACCAUUUUGAAUUAAACUAAUAUUUAUAUGCAGAAAAAAUUGGAUGCAUUAAAUCUCUGGAGU
ensembl:lncRNA